UACGGGGGGGGCGAGCGUUGUCCGAAGUUACUGGGCGUAAAGCGCGUGUAGGCGGGUUGUUAAGUCCGCUGUGAAAGCCCGGUGCUCGACGCCGGAGGGUCGGUGGAUACUGGCAGUCUUGAAGUGGCUAGGGGGAAAUGGAAUUACCGGUGUAGCGGUGAAAUGCGUAGAUAUCGGUAGGAACACCAGUGGCGAAGGCGGUUUCCUGGAGCCCACUUGACGCUGAGACGCGAAAGCUGGGGGAGCAAACGGG
rnacentral:rRNA from 1 species